rnacentral:rRNA from 1 species
AUACGGAGGAUGCAAGCGUUAUCCGGAUUUAUUGGGUUUAAAGGGUGCGUAGGCGGAUGAUUAAGCGAGAGGUGAAAUGCCACGGCUCAACAGUGGAACUGCCUCGCGAACUGGUUGUCUUGACUGGUCCUGCCGUGGGAGGAAUGUGUGGUGUAGCGGUGAAAUGUAUAGAGCUCACACAGAACACGGAUUGCGAAGGCAGCUCACGAAGGGGCGAUGGACGCUGAGGCACGAAAGCGGGGGGAUCAAACAGGAUUAGAUCCCCUGGUAGUCCACGCAGAAAACGAUGACAACUAACCGCGGGGUCGUAGUGAUUCAGUGUCCAAGCGAACGCGAUAAGUUAUCCACCUGGGGAGUACGACCGCAAGGUUGAAACUCAAAUGAAUUGGCGGGG